rnacentral:tRNA from 1 species
UCAUGGAUAGCUCAGUUGGUAGAGCAUCAGACUUUUAAUCUGAGGGCCAGGGUUCAAGUCCCUAUUUGGGUG